rnacentral:rRNA from 1 species
AUGAACGCUAGCUACAGGCUUAACACAUGCAAGUCGAGGGGCAUCAGGGUGUAGCAAUACACCGCUGGCGACCGGCGCACGGGUGAGUAACACGUAUCCAACCUGCCCUUUACUCGGGGAUAGCCUUUCGAAAGAAAGAUUAAUACCCGAUGGUAUAACAUGACCUCCUGGUUUUGUUAUUAAAGAAUUUCGGUAGAGGAUGGGGAUGCGUUCCAUUAGGCAGUUGGCGGGGUAACGGCCCACCAAACCUUCGAUGGAUAGGGGUUCUGAGAGGAAGGUCCCCCACAUUGGAACUGAGACACGGUCCAAACUCCUACGGGAGGCAGCAGUGAGGAAUAUUGGUCAAUGGGCGAGAGCCUGAACCAGCCAAGUAGCGUGAAGGAUGACCGCCCUAUGGGUUGUAAACUUCUUUUAUAUGGGAAUAAAGGGUGCCACGUGUGGCAUUUUGUAUGUACCAUAUGAAUAAGGAUCGGCUAACUCCGUGCCAGCAGCCGCGGUAAUACGGAGGAUCCGAGCGUUAUCCGGAUUUAUUGGGUUUAAAGGGAGCGUAGGUGGACAUGUAAGUCAGUUGUGAAAGUUUGCGGCUCAACCGUAAAAUUGCAGUUGAUACUGCGUGUCUUGAGUACAGUAGAGGUGGGCGGAAUUCGUGGUGUAGCGGUGAAAUGCUUAGAUAUCACGAAGAACUCCGAUUGCGAAGGCAGCUCACUGGACUGCAACUGACACUGAUGCUCGAAAGUGUGGGUAUCAAACAGGAUUAGAUACCCUGGUAGUCCACACAGUAAACGAUGAAUACUCGCUGUUUGCGAUAUACAGUAAGCGGCCAAGCGAAAGCAUUAAGUAUUCCACCUGGGGAGUACGCCGGCAACGGUGAAACUCAAAGGAAUUGACGGGGGCCCGCACAAGCGGAGGAACAUGUGGUUUAAUUCGAUGAUACGCGAGGAACCUUACCCGGGCUUAAAUUGCAAAUGAAUAUGCCGGAAACGGCAUAGCCGCAAGGCAUUUGUGAAGGUGCUGCAUGGUUGUCGUCAGCUCGUGCCGUGAGGUGUCGGCUUAAGUGCCAUAACGAGCGCAACCCUUAUCUUCAGUUACUAACAGGUUAUGCUGAGGACUCUGGAGAGACUGCCGUCGUAAGAUGUGAGGAAGGUGGGGAUGACGUCAAAUCAGCACGGCCCUUACGUCCGGGGCUACACACGUGUUACAAUGGGGGGUACAGAGGGCCGCUACACAGCGAUGUGAUGCCAAUCCCUAAAGCCCCUCUCAGUUCGGAUCGAAGUCUGCAACCCGACUUCGUGAAGCUGGAUUCGCUAGUAAUCGCGCAUCAGCCACGGCGCGGUGAAUACGUUCCCGGGCCUUGUACACACCGCCCGUCAAGCCAUGGGAGCCGGGGGUACCUGAAGUACGUAACCGCAAGGAGCGUCCUAGGGUAAAACUGGUGACUGGGGCU